GUAAACACCUCAUGGUGGCUCUCCUGGCCCAGAGCCCCUUCCAUGUCCAUCCUGAACUGCACGCCACAGCACAGGCGGUAGGAGAGGCCUCCUCUCUCUCGGUCGGAGCCGGCGUUUCGAGCCUGGCUGAGCAUCCUAUUCCUGCUAAGACAGGGCCGCUCAGCGUCUGCUGUCACCUUAAUUGGGAGGCUGCGUUCCAGUUUAAACACAGCAAAGGUUUCUCCCUCAUCAAAGGAAAAGCGUUCUGCCCAGAUGGCUGAAAUGAAAAGGCUUCGUCUUCAGCCCCCAUACAGCCAACGGUGUUGGAAGGCUGCACUGUUUUGGAAAAGGAGGGGGAGGAAAAAAAAAUUGACCGGAACACAGCCCAGAGCACAGGAGGCGUGCAGUAUGUGUUUGUCGCAUGAAUGAAGGAAUGAAUGAAUGCAGAAACAACUCCUGCCCUGAUGGAGGAAAGAAGACCCAAAACAGAAGCACAGCAACGUCAAGCAGGCCCACUGAGAUGCAGCAAGGUUCAUUUGAAACCAGUGGCACAAGCCCCCCAAACUGGGCAAACACCACCGCCUGGAGGGCCCCGCUACAAGGCAGUGACGCGGACUUUGCAUUUCCCAUCAAGGUACCGGGAGUAUAUGGGGAGUGUGUCCCCCACGUAGAAGACAGUCCGAGCCCCCUCUUGACAGAUGGAUGCUCAGGAGCUGAGAGCGCCCUGCCUUAUCCUGACAGCAGCAUGGCAAGUCAGGGGCAGAGGCGGGCAUCAGACCUGUCAAUCUGGCCCAUAAAUUCCCCAAUCAGCUCACGGAUUAAAGCAACGAUCGAGUUUUCAAACAGUUGUCCCAGUUCCUGUUUUGCCUCGUGAAGAUUCCACCCAGCCUCCAAGUUGAGGAGCCUGACCUCUGAGACAGGCUCCCUUCUCCCCACUCUGGCUGCCCCUGCUCUCCUCCAAGACCCCAAGGUGGCCUCAGUGACAGUGAGACAGGAGAAGAAAAACGGACAGAAGAACGUGCAGAAGAGGGGACUGAAAAGUCGGAGGAGACGGUCCCCAUCCCACCUACCCGGCCACAAUGCAGGCUGGUUUUGCUCUCCACAGGCCUGCUGGUGUCCUGUCUUUUAUCCUGGUUUUAAGCACAGACAUUUGGAAAUGUUGAUUGUGUUCCUGGCCUUGCCUUCAACCCAAGGACAACACAGGGCCCAGCCCUCAGAAGGCUCCCAGUCCAGCAGUGAUGUUGGGCGGGCAAACCAAACAGCAUGGCCCCUGAGGUCUCAAAGCACAGAGGCUCCGACCAGGCUGGUUACCACCCCUGGGUCUGCAGCCCCUCCAAGUAGAUGUGAGGAAGCUGGGCAGUCCCAGCCUCAAAGAGAGCCAAGCCUUCCCUUUUGGCCUCUUGAUUUCUGAUUCUGCUGGGUCAAGGUCUAUGAGAAAGUGGAUCCAGUCAUUUCCAGGGGAAAGAAAAGUGGGGAACUCAUCACAAAUCACCCUUAAUGAGACCACGUUCUGUUCCUGGGUCACACAAAGUAAAUGUUGAAAAUUGGCCUCAUCACAACCGCUGUCCUCUCAUAGGUGGCCCUUUGGAGCUGUGCAUAAAUGACGACUCUGCAACUCGAGAGGCCCAGGAAUGCCCAUGGGCACAAUGCCUAACACACACCAGAGAGGACCUGAGACACCGGGACUGCAUGUGAAGCCGUACCUUCCACCACAACUUCUCUCCAAAAGACCAUUUGGCUACAACGUAUCAUAUGACUUGUUCUUAGAGUCACAUUUUAACUGACAAAGUUUAACAACAACCAUGACUUAUGGCCUUCUAAAAUUGGCAGCAGAAAAAUGAACUGAGGAAGUAAUGGAAAAAAACCACAAGCGAAGCCACUCUGCAUUAUGCACAAUUUCUGAUGUGCUUCUUUUUUUUUCCUUUCCAGGCGUGUGUGUGUGUGUGUGUGUUUUCGAAUGGUAGAAAAUAUUUUCCAGAUACACUGUCCUGGCAUUCCCAAGCACAUAUUUAUGCCAAGUUUAUAAAAAGCAGCUGCAGACAGGGUUGACUGAAAGGAUUGCUCUGCUGUCUGGCUUCCAGAAGGUGCUUCGGUUCUCACUCUGUCGCCAGGACACAGACUUACCUCCUAAAACUCCCUAACCUUCUGUGUCAUGCACCUGAAAGGGGACAAACCUGUGACUCAGAGGGACCUGGGGAAGCAGUCGCCUCGUGCUCCUCUCGUGGUCUGCUCAGUGUGGCCCCCACUCACAUCUCCAAGGAAGAGGAAGUGGCAGCAAGAACUGGGAACCAGAGGCCAAACCAAGUGGAUGAAGGCGAGGAUCGUUAUGACCACGCCCCCACCCACCCCGGACCCGGCCGAGGAGGGUUUGACACAGUGGCAGCUGGGAAGCCAAGAACAGAAAGCCUUUAAGCCGUGCAACCUAAUGCCAAGAUUCCGCCCGAGAGAGCCCAGUUCCUGCGCUCUGCACAUUCCUUCCAUUCCUCCCAAGCACCUUCUCCCGUGACCCCUCUCCAAGCAGCCUCUCUGCUCUCUCCCCACUGCUGUUUUCUUUUUUCUUCUAGAAAACAAAUCACGCGGGCAGAAGGAUUUCAGGCACUUCUGCUUUCUCUUUCAGAUCUCCAGGUUUUCACGGCCUUGUCUCCUCCCGUGGGUAGCCUGGAAUCCUAGAGGCCCCCAAACACACAGAAUGAUAAAAAAUCCAAAAAACAGGAUGGAAGGAUGGGAGCCUGA
rnacentral:lncRNA from 1 species